rnacentral:rRNA from 1 species
AACGAACGCUGGCGGCAUGCCUAACACAUGCAAGUCGAACGAGACCUUCGGGUCUAGUGGCGCACGGGUGCGUAACGCGUGGGAACCUGCCCUUAGGUUCGGAAUAAAUCCCCGAAAGGGGUGCUAAUACCGGAUAAUGUCUUCGGACCAAAGAUUUAUCGCCUUUGGAUGGGCCCGCGUUGGAUUAGCUAGUUGGUAGGGUAAAAGCCUACCAAGGCGACGAUCCAUAGCUGGUCUGAGAGGAUGAUCAGCCACACUGGGACUGAGACACGGCCCAGACUCCUACGGGAGGCAGCAGUGGGGAAUAUUGGACUAUGGGCGAAAGCCUGAUCCAGCAAUGCCGCGUGAGUGAUGAAGGCCUUAGGGUUGUAAAGCUCUUUUACCCGGGAUGAUAAUGACAGUACCGGGAGAAUAAGCGCCGGCUAACUCCGUG